UGGCUUAGACGGUAAAGUGUCUGUCUACAAUGCAGGAGACCCGGGUUUGAUCCCUGG
rfam:Ovis aries breed Texel chromosome 8, whole genome shotgun sequence.